rnacentral:rRNA from 1 species
CCCUACGGGGCGCAGCAGUGGGGAAUAUGGCACAAUGGGGGAAACCCUGAUGCAGCAACGCCGCGUGAGUGAAGAAGUAUUUCGGUAUGUAAAGCUCUAUCAGCAGGGAAGAAGAAAGACGGUACCUGACUAAGAAGCCCCGGCUAACUACGUGCCAGCAGCCGCGGUAAUACGUAGGGGGCAAGCGUUAUCCGGAUUUACUGGGUGUAAAGGGAGCGUAGACGGCGAUGCAAGUCUGAAGUGAAAGCCCGGGGCUCAACCCCGGGACUGCUUUGGAAACUGUACGGCUGGAGUGCUGGAGAGGG